rnacentral:lncRNA from 1 species
GAGUCGCGCUGUUUUGUGUUUAAAAACAGAGACAUAUAAAACAGUUUCUAAGGCAAAAAGGCAAAAAACAGUAAGGUUGCUGGCGACGAGCACUUGCGAACAUGGCGGGCAGCAACAGCAUAUUCAAAGAGUAAUGUGAAGGAAGUGAAGAUGCAUGACAGACAUUCAGGACAGUUUCUGAAGUGAGUAAUCAUAAAGAUACAGAUACAGUG